AUGCUUGCUUGGGUGGCGCAUAUACUAAAACUGGAAGGAUACAGAGAAGAUUAGCAUGGCCCCUGAGCAAAGAUGACAUGCAAAUUCAUGAAGCAUUCAAUAUUUAA
rnacentral:snRNA from 1 species